CCUACGGGAGGCAGCAGUGAGGAAUAUUGGUCAAUGGGCGCGAGCCUGAACCAGCCAAGCCGCGUGAGGGAGGACGGCCCUACGGGUUGUAAACUUCUUCUGCCGGGGAGCAACGGGCGUCACGUGUGGCGCCACUGCGAGUACCCGGAGAACAAGCAUCGGCUAACUCCGUACCAGCAGCCGCGGUAUUACGGGGGAGGCGAGGGUUAUCCGGUUUUAGUGGGUUUAAAGGGUGCGUAGGCGGAUCGUUAAGUCAGCGGUCAAAUUGAGGGGCCAAACCCCUUCCCGCCAUUGAAACUGGCGUUGUUGAGUGGAAGAGAGGUAUGCGGAAUGCGUGGUGUAGCGGUGAAAUGCAUAGAUAUCACGCAGAACCCCGAUUGCGAAGGCAGCAUGCCGGCUUCCAACUGACGCUGAAGCACGAAAGCGUGGGGAUCGAACAGGAUUAGAUACCCUUGUAGUC
rnacentral:rRNA from 1 species